GAUGAACGCUGGCGGCGUGCCUAAUACAUGCAAGUCGAGCGAACGGACGAGAAGCUUGCUUCUCUGAUGUUAGCGGCGGACGGGUGAGUAACACGUGUAUAACCUACCUAUAAGACUGGGAUAACUUCGUGAAACCGUAGCUAAUACCGGAUAAUAUUUUGAACCGCAUGGUUCAAAAGUUAACGACGGUCUUGCUGUCACUUAUAGAUUGAUCCGCGCUGCAUUAGCUAGUUGGUAAGGUAACGGCUUACCAAGGCAACGAUGCAUAGCCGACCUGAGAGGGUGAUCGGCCACACUGGAACUGAGACACGGUCCAGACUCCUACGGGAGGCAGCAGUAGGGAAUCUUGCGCAAUGGGCGAAAGCCUGACGGAGCAACGCCGCGUGAGUGAUGAAGGUCUUCGGAUCGUAAAACUCUGUUAUUAGGGAAGAAAAUAUGUGUAAGAAAAUGUGCACAUCUUGACGGUACCUAAAGAGAAAGCAACGGCUAACUACGUG
rnacentral:rRNA from 1 species